CAACAUUAUCCGGGGCUUCGGAAUGGUUUCAGACCAUCACCGCUUUAUCCAUCCAGGAUUGGGAUCCCCAAAGAAAUUGCCCAGCCACAAUUUUUCCAAUCUAGGCCGUCCAAUUAAAUCUAUUUAAAAUAACGGCUAUUAAGACGCCACCUCAUCGAUCCGCGUCAAAUCUCAGAAGAAACCUUCUCCCUCCCCAAAUGGCAAAUUCGGUCCGCGUCUCUCUCUCUCUCUCAGUCUUCUCCUGAUUCUUUUCUUUUUUUUUCUUACCCAUUCUCCUUUCUCCUGACCCAUUCUUCUUUCUCCAGAAAAAUUCGCUUGAUGCCAUGGAGACAAGGUUUUAGGCAGAAAAUUUUGGGAUAAUACCUGUACAUUUCCCGGAAAAAGUCGCCUGAUACCUGUACCUUUGCCCGGCGAUUUCCUCAACCUCCUGGGACCGCGAUUUUUGCGAGGUUCCCGAGCCCCCAGUUCCAGAUCUGGACUCGCCUGGACGUUUUUCGCUCCUCCAACUCGACCUCUCUCCAUGGCUGGUUCAUCCUCUGCUCGACCAACCACAAACCCGCAGAGACAUGUUAGUUACAGAGGCUUUGCGCCUACAAAUUGAAAUUCAAAAGCAGCUCCAUGAACAACUCAAGGUGUGCCCAAGAAAAUCAAGGUAGAAUGCGUUUCUGUAAAGUGGAAAUUGCUAGAAGUUGUUGGUUCAGUGCUGUUGCUGUCCUUUCAGAUAAUUGACUGUUUGGUUGGUUUAGUUUUGUUGGUUUCUCCAUUGUGAGUUGUGAAUACUGUUUAGCUACUGGUAGCAAAUUGUAUAGAUAGCCAAAAGUAGAGAAUUGUAUUAUUUUUUAUGAUAUUUUGGCUUGUUUGCCGAUUUGUAGCCUUUUGGCAUAAAAUUCUCUUAUUUGGUUAAUAAAAUUCAUUCAUCCAAAAAA